rnacentral:rRNA from 1 species
AUUGAACGCUGGCGGCAGGCCUAACACCUGCAAGUCGAGCGGAGCGGCGGACGGGUGAGUAAUGCCUAGGAAUCUGCAUGGUAGAGGGGGAUAACGUCCGGAAACGGGCGCUAAUACCGCAUCCUAGCAGAUGCGCCUAGGUCGGUUUAGCUAGUUGGUGGGGUAAAGGCCUACCAAGGCGGCGAUCCGUAACUGGUCUGAGAGGAUGGUCAGUCACACUGGAACUGGGAGAGGGUCCCGCCUCCUACGGGAGGCAGCAGGGGGGAAUAUUGGACAGUGGGCGAAAUCCUGAUGCAGCCACGCGGAGUGUGUGAAGAAGUGCUGCGGAUGGUAAGGCACUUUAAGUUGGGAGGCGUUACCAAGAGAAUAAGCACCGGCUAACUUCGUGCCAGCAGCCGCGGUAAUAC